rnacentral:rRNA from 1 species
GUAGGUGGCAAGCGUUGUCCGGAAUUAUUGGGCGUAAAGCGCGCGCAGGCGGUUCUUUAAGUCUGAUGUGAAAGCCCACGGCUCAACCGUGGAGGGUCAUUGGAAACUGGAGAACUUGAGUACAGAAGAGGAAAGCGGAAUUCCACGUGUAGCGGUGAAAUGCGUAGAGAUGUGGAGGAACACCAGUGGCGAAGGCGGCUUUCUGGUCUGCAACUGACGCUGAGGCGCGAAAGCGUGGGGAGCAAACAGGAUUAGAUACCCUGGUAGUCCACGCCGUAAACGAUGAGUGCUAAGUGUUAGGGGGUUUCCGCCCCCCUUAGUGCUGCAGCUAACGCAUUAAGCACUCCGCCUGGGAGUACGGCCGCAAGGCUG